rnacentral:lncRNA from 1 species
CUCUAGCCCUUUUCUUCUUUACCUGUAGGAACCCUAACCCUCUAUCAAUAGCUUCUUUUUCAAGCAGUAAGGGAACGGGAAGGAAGCCUCAGGGAUCCUAACCCUCUGUCAAAUGGAAGGAAGCUUAGGGAACCUAACCAUCUCUAUCGAUCGCUUCAAUCAUGGAAAGAAGAGGAAGUGAGCUGAGCAGUGGUCACAACACAACAAAAGAAGUCUAUCUGGAGUGAGAGAGACUAGCAGUAGUCACGAGGAAGUCUCUCUAGAAGGAGAGAGUGAGGGCAUCACGUGUUUUGCAUUUUGGUAAUUUCUUAGAGAAGGGAGAGAUGGGUGUAUUGUUCUUCAAUAAAAAGAGAGAUAGGGUAUACUAGUACUAGAUGUUGAAGGUGGAAAUAGUAGUGGAAUUCAAAGAAUAGUGUAAGCGAUUACUGGCUUCAGAGAUUUGCUUGGUUGUGGUUACUGUCAAUAUUUGAUUGAAUUUGGGUUGUGGUUUGUUCAUCGCAACAAAAUAAU